AUAAAGUGAUUUUAUUAAAAACAAGCGUAAACAAGUUAAUGAAAAAAAUUUUAAAUAAUUAUUUUAAAUGUGAAAACGAAAAUAUUUAUUUAAACAUGGACUUACACUUAUUGAUUACAAUCAACUAAUACAUCAACAUCUAGUAGCCAACCAUUCCUGCUAAUACCACACCAUGCUAGAUCCAACACCAAGGCAAAUUUACUCAAAGCUUCGUGUCAUUACCAAAUGAUCCUGAAGAAAUAAAUUUACAUUCAGUAAGCUUUUUGUAAAUUUAUUUCAGUAAUUAUAAGUUUGCUGUUAAGUAGAAUAAUUAUAAUUAAUGAUCAUUAAAGUAAAA